rnacentral:rRNA from 1 species
UGCGUAGGCGGAUUAAUAAGUCAGUGGUGAAAACCUGCAGCUUAACUGCAGACCUGCCAUUGAUACUGUUAGUCUUGAGUGCGGUCAAGGUAGGCGGAAUGUGUAAUGUAGCGGUGAAAUGCUUAGAUAUUACACAGAACACCGAUUGCGAAGGCAGCUUACUGGGCCAUUACUGACGCUGAGGCACGAAAGCGUGGGGAGCGAACAGGAUUAGAUACCCUGGUAGUCC